AUACGUAGGGAGCAAGCGUUAUCCGGAUUUACUGGGUGUAAAGGGCGAGUAGGCGGGCUGACAAGUUGGGAGUGAAAUCCGAGGGCUUAACCCUCGAACUGCUUUCAAAACUGUUAGUCUUGAGUGAUGGAGAGGCAGGCGGAAUUCCCAGUGUAGCGGUGAAAUGCGUAGAUAUUGGGAGGAACACCAGUGGCGAAGGCGGCCUGCUGGACAUUAACUGACGCUGAGGCGCGAAAGCGUGGGGAGC
rnacentral:rRNA from 1 species